rnacentral:tRNA from 1 species
GGAGUGAUACCCAAGAGGCCGAAGGGGCUCCCCUGCUAAGGGAGUAGUACGAGUGAAUCGUAGCCAGGGUUCAAAUCCCUGCUUCUCCGCCA